UACGUAGGGGGCUAGCGUUGUCCGGAUUUAUUGGGCGUAAAGAGCGUGUAGGCGGCCAGGUAGGUCUGGUGUGAAAACUCGAGGCUUAACCUCGAGAUGUCAUCGGAAACCAUCUGGCUAGAGUCCGGAAGAGGAGAGUGGAAUUCCUGGUGUAGCGGUGAAAUGCGCAGAUAUCAGGAAGAACACAAAUGGCGAAAGCAGCUCUCUGGGACGGUACUGACGCUGAGACGCGAAAGCGUGGGGAGCGAACAGG
rnacentral:rRNA from 1 species